rnacentral:rRNA from 1 species
UACGUAGGGGGCAAGCGUUGUCCGGAUUUAUUGGGCGUAAAGAGCGUGUAGGCGGCCAUGUAGGUCCGUUGUGAAAACUCGAGGCUCAACCUCGAGACGCCGAUGGAAACCAUGUGGCUAGAGUCCGGAAGAGGAGAGUGGAAUUCCUGGUGUAGCGGUGAAAUGCGCAGAUAUCAGGAAGAACACCCGUGGCUAAGGCGGCGCUCUGGGCCGGAACUGACGCUGAGGAGCGAAAGCGUGGGUAGCAAACAGG